rnacentral:rRNA from 1 species
GACGAACGCUGGCGGCGUGCCUAAUACAUGCAAGUAGAACGCUGAAGCGAGGAGCUUGCUCUUCUUGGAUGAGUUGCGAACGGGUGAGUAACGCGUAGGUAACCUGCCUUGUAGCGGGGGAUAACUAUUGGAAACGAUAGCUAAUACCGCAUAACAAUGGAUGACACAUGUCAUUUAUUUGAAAGGGGCAAUUGCUCCACUACAAGAUGGACCUGCGUUGUGUUAGCUAGUAGGUGAGGUAAUGGCUCACCUAGGCGACGAUACAUAGCCGACCUGAGAGGGUGAUCGGCCACACUGGGACUGAGACACGGCCCAGACUCCUACGGGAGGCAGCAGUAGGGAAUCUUCGGCAAUGGGGGCAACCCUGACCGAGCAACGCCGCGUGAGUGAAGAAGGUUUUCGGAUCGUAAAGCUCUGUUGUAAGUCAAGAACGGGUGUGAGAGUGGAAAGUUCACACUGUGACGGUAGCUUACCAGAAAGGGACGGCUAACUACGUG